rnacentral:lncRNA from 1 species
UAAUUCCAUUGCUCCAAGAAUUACAAAAAACAGUCAUUACAAGUAGAAGAAUGUCAAUAAUACAUAGUGGUUACAACAGACCCUUCUAUACUGAAAUCUUUAAUAAACAAACACAGAGAAGGUGCUUAGUUAAUAAUACACAUACAACAUGAGUUUACAACGAAAGGGAACUGACACUGAAAUGGGCACAUGGUUCAGUAAAUGAAGGGACAUAAGUAGCUGAAACCACCGCAAAAGCCAAAAUUCAAAACCAUGUGACCGAAGAUUGCAUCACCAGAGAGGAGAUUCAGACCAAAGCAAUACACCUUAAUCUGAGAAGACCUUAAGGUACCACGGUACCACCAGAUAAACACGCAGCAGUAGCACACCAGUAAGGAAACCACAACUUAGAGCAUACAUCCAUGGCCCUCAGCAAGAAUAGUACUCAGAAGAAUCUUCAACACGAAACUAGCACUAAACAUCACUGCACAGUGGCAAUUAAAACCCACAUUCUGAACUUCCUUGAAAUGUGCCUUUCAAUCAAGCUGACCUAAAUGAUAAUCAAAGAACACUGUAGAACCACCUCCAUGAUAGUACUGAAUCAAAACCUUGUUCCUACUCCCAAAUAAAGCACCACUAAAUCGACCAUGAAACAUACAGUGAUGGAUCUGUUUAUAUACCUCGCAACCACCAUCAAUAAUCCAACCUAUACUGCAUGCCAAACUGAACAGCAAAUUGACACCAUAUAGCUGUAAAGUCCAAACACACCUAAGCAACCAUAUCUUACCAUAACUGAACCUUCUGAUGAGACUGAAAACGACGAGGAGAACAUGCCAGAUGCAAAAACUGCAGAAUUUUGAGCACUCCACUAAUUCCAAUUAUACAAGCAUCAGGUGCAAGUUCUAUCACAAAAAUUAGGCGUGCGAACAAAUUAUCCUGAUCAGACCAAUAACCAUGUGGACCAGAGGCAGAUCGAGACCAAACCCUUCAAAUUAUCCUGUUUCAGUCAAGCCCAAACUUUCUGCGCUGCCCAAUUAAACUGAUCUGACAUUGGACAGAGAUCGAAACAAAAGAAGUGCAGAACCCUAGGUACCAACAAAUCGUAAUUAGUCACAAAUCAACACAAAAUUAUUUCCCCAUCCAGAGGGAUCCGCGGGGGGAAACGCGACAGAGCAGGGGAACGAAUCUUCAAACCUAGACCUCGAAUCGAACGGAUCGAUUAACCCUAUAAUCAAGCGAUCUAUCCGGCUAGUCCGCGCACCUGUUCAACCAAAUCGAAGAAACAAGCGUGAGAUCGGAAACAACUGCGCCUUACCUACGACUUACCCAUGACGACGACACGAGGAGGGAUGCGCGUAGGGGAAGUCCUCUACCGCCUAACGAACACCGAUUCUAUUCUGCGAAGAGGAGAAGAGCGGGGGUCGGGUGGCUUUAUAGGGAGCACAGGUCGGUUGGUGAUCGUCGGUUCUGCGUUUGCCGAGU